GAUGAACGCUGGCGGCGUGCCUAAUACAUGCAAGUCGAGCGAACAGACGAGGAGCUUGCUCCUCUGACGUUAGCGGCGGACGGGUGAGUAACACGUGGAUAACCUACCUAUAAGACUGGGAUAACUUCGGGAAACCGGAGCUAAUACCGGAUAAUAUAUUGAACCGCAUGGUUCAAUAGUGAAAGACGGAUUUGCUGUCACUUAUAGAUGGAUCCGCGCCGCAUUAGCUAGUUGGUAAGGUAACGGCUUACCAAGGCAACGAUGCGUAGCCGACCUGAGAGGGUGAUCAGCCACACUGGAACUGAGACACGGUCCAGACUCCUACGGGAGGCAGCAGUAGGGAAUCUUCCGCAAUGGGCGAAAGCCUGACGGAGCAACGCCGCGUGAGUGAUGAAGGUCUUCGGAUCGUAAAACUCUGUUAUUAGGGAAGAACAAAUGUGUAAGUAACUAUGCACGUCUUGACGGUACCUAAUCAGAAAGCCACGGCUAACUACGUG
rnacentral:rRNA from 1 species